rnacentral:tRNA from 1 species
GUUUAUGUAGCUUAAUAAAA